rnacentral:rRNA from 1 species
AUGGGAGGAGCUUGGCUGCGCAGGUCCACGAGGGCACUCGAACAGGGCAGCGGACGGCGGGAACGGGACUGCGACUUUGCGGUGAUGGGCGCGGUCAACAGGGAAGGAGGCUCUGGGACGGCACGGGGCGACUCGGUGGUGGACUUCCAUGGCUGGCGGCACCAUGAUUGGAGGAGGCAGCUGCAGGAUGGCUCGGGCUCCUCUGGUCGGAAAGGGUGGAUCGGGAGGGAUUGCCUGGUGUGUGAAAUCGAGGAGGGGAUGGAUCCCGAGAGGGAUUUGGUGGAGUGGUGGCGGCGAUGGGACAAACCCCCAAGAAAUUAG